rnacentral:lncRNA from 1 species
CAAUUUCCAAAGGAAUUAUUCUUGACAGAUACAUGCCAUCUUUAACUUUGAAACAAGGAAUAAAAACACAGAAUAAUGCUCCAGGGCAUGAGUUCGCUGUGAAGAGAAGUGGACUAGGAAGAAAGUGCCCCGUUGGGCAGGCUCAACUUAUAUUUCAUGACAGGCUUCAGUAUGCCAAAGACCUGGAAUUCUGGUACAUUCUGAAAGUAAAUUUAUGUACAACAUUACUUAUGUUAAUGUAACAUGUAUUUCAUAUUAUGUAAUUAAUAUUAAUGCAAAGUUUGUACCAGAUACGUUGCUGAGAAUUCUGAUGAUUACUAAGGGAACUAAAACCUUAUGUAAACUGUACAGACAACAUUAACACUGAAAUGAUCAACAUCUUAAUAAAGUAGUGUGGGACUGGAA